UUAUGGUCAUAGCACAUUGAAACACUAGUUCAUGUAUGAUCACUAAAGUUAAGCAACAUUGAGACUGAUCAGUACCUAGAUGGGUGACUACUUGGAAAUAUCAGGUGCUGUAAG